GCUUUCGUGGUGUAAUGGUCAGCACACUCGACGCGUAUUUGACAGGUCCGAGGUUCGAGUCCCGGCGAGGGCA
rfam:Stegodyphus mimosarum contig14200, whole genome shotgun sequence.